rnacentral:rRNA from 1 species
GACGAACGCUGGCGGCGUGCCUAAUACAUGCAAGUCGAGCGGACUGAUUAAGAUCUUGCCUUUAUGACGUUAGGGGCGGGCGGGUGAGGAACACGUGGGUAACCUGUCCUGUAGAAUGGGAUAACACCGAGAACUCGGUUCUCACACAGGGCAAUAGCUGGGAUCACAUGAUCUUUGGUUAAAAGAUCUCUCCGGCUAUCACUACAGGAAGUGCCUGCGGCGUGUUGGCAAGUUGGUAAGGGAAUGGGUUACCAAGGUGGCGAGGCGUAGCGGUCGUGAGAGGGGGAGCGGCCACACAGGGACUGUGACACGGCCCAGACUCCUACGGGAGGCAGCAGUAGGGGAUCUACCGCAAUGGAGGAGAGUCUGUCGGAGCAACGCGGCGUGAGUGAUGAAGGGGUCCGGCUAGUAAAGCGCUGUUGUUAGGGAGGAAACAGUACGGAACGAACUAGGUCGGUACCUUGACGGUACCUAAACAGAAAGCCACGGCUAACUACGUG